rnacentral:rRNA from 1 species
GACGAACGCUGGCGGCGUGCAUAACACAUGCAAGUCAAGGGGGUCAGUAGCAAUACUGGCAACCGGCGAACGGGUGCGUAACACGUAAGCGACCUACCUCAAUGUGGGGCAUAGCCGGCCUAACGGCCGGGUAAUUCCGCAUGUGAUCUUGGAGGGGCAUCUCUCCGGGAUGAAACCAGUAAUGGGCAUUGAGAGGGGCUUGCGGCCUAUCAGCUUGUUGGUGAGGUAACGGCUCACCAAGGCUACGACGGGUAGCUGGUCUGAGAGGAUGGCCAGCCACAUUGGGACUGAGAAACGGCCCAGACUCCUACGGGAGGCAGCAGUGGGGAAUCUUGCGCAAUGGUCUAACGACUGACGCAGCGACGCCGCGUGAGGGAUGAAGCUCUUCGGAGUGUAAACCUCUGUUGCCCGGGACGAA